GUUUGAUCCUGGCUCAGGACGAACGCUGGCGGCAUGCCUAACACAUGCAAGUCGAACGAGAAAGUUCCUUCGGGAGCGAUUAAAGUGGCGCACGGGUGAGUAACGCGUAGACAAUCUGCCCUUCAGUCUGGGACAACUUUUCGAAAGGAGAGCUAAUACCGGAUAACAAUGUUUAACAUAAGUUAAGUAUUUGAAAGCUUUAUGUGCUGAAGGAGGGGUCUGCGUCCCAUUAGCUAGUUGGUAGGGUAAAGGCUUACCAAGGCAACGAUGGGUAGCGGGUUUGAGAGGACGAUCCGCCACACUGGAACUGAGACACGGUCCAGACUCCUACGGGAGGCAGCAGUAGGGAAUCUUGCGCAAUGGGCGAAAGCCUGACGCAGCCACGCCGCGUGAGGGAUGAAGGCUUUCGGGUUGUAAACCUCUUUCAGCAGGGACGAAAAUGACGGUACCUGCAGAAGAAGGUCCGGAUAACUUCGUGCCAGCAGCCGCGGUAAUACGAAGGGACCUAGCGUAGUUCGGAAUUACUGGGCUUAAAGAGUUCGUAGGUGGUUAAAAAAGUUGGUGGUGAAAUCCCAGAGCUUAACUCUGGAACUGCCAUCAAAACUUUUUAGCUAGAGUAUGAUAGAGGAAAGUAGAAUUUCUAGUGUAGAGGUGAAAUUCGUAGAUAUUAGAAAGAAUACCAAUUGCGAAGGCAGCUUUCUGGGUCAUUACUGACACUGAGGAACGAAAGCAUGGGUAGCGAAGAGGAUUAGAUACCCUCGUAGUCCAUGCCGUAAACGAUGUGUGCUAGACGUUGGAAAUUUUAUUUUCAGUGUCGCAGCAAAAGCGAUAAGCACACCGCCUGGGGAGUACGACCGCAAGGUUAAAACUCAAAUGAAUUGACGGGGACCCGCACAAGUAGUGGAGCAUGUGGUUUAAUUCGAAGAUACGCGCAGAACCUUACCAACACUUGACAUGUUCGUCGCAACUCUAAGAGAUUAGAGUUUUCGGUUCGGCCGGACGAAACACAGGUGCUGCAUGGCUGUCGUCAGCUCGUGUCGUGAGAUGUUGGGUUAAGUCCCGCAACGAGCGCAACCCUCACUUUUAGUUGCUACCAUUUAGUUGGGCACUCUGAAAGAACUGCCAGUGAUAAGCUGGAGGAAGGUGGGGAUGACGUCAAGUCCUCAUGGCCCUUACGUGUUGGGCUACACACGUGCUACAAUGGCAUCUACAACAGGAAGCAAGAAUGCGAAUUUAAGCAAAUCCCUAAAAGAUGCCUCAGUUCGGAUUGUACUCUGCAACUCGAGUACAUGAAGCUGGAAUUACUAGUAAUCGCGGAUCAGCGUGCCGCGGUGAAUACGUUCCCGGGUCUUGUACACACCGCCCGUCACACCAUGGGAGUUGGUUCUACCUUAAGGCAAAAUGUUAACCUUUGGGAAGCAUUUGACCACGGUAUAGUCAGCGACUGGGGUGAAGUCGUAACAAGGUAGCC
rnacentral:rRNA from 1 species